GGACAGGCACACUUUUGUCAGAGCAGUGGUUCUCAACUGGGGCAACGAACUGAUCUGAACCACGUGCCCAGGUCCAACCCCAGACUGAAGGAAGCCCACAUUUCCACGGAGGCCCCCGGGCAGCUACAGCAGGGCAUGGACACUCCUCACCAAACACCGUGGCCUUGCUGACAGAUGUAGGGACGGUUGCUCAGUCUACUCGUAAUUAAGGAAAUGUGAACCAAAGUCUGAAACUGGUGAAAAUACUUGAUAUUUUUGCUGAUAUGCUUGCUGUUGGUCAGAGAAUAAACUGGCAUAGCCUCUUCGGAGGGCAGCUUGUCGAUACGGACCACAAUUUAAAACCACACACCUGUUGCCCAGCAUCCGGUUUCUAGGACAUACACUUGCAUGUGUGUGCAAAACAGACACCCAAGGAUGAUCACUUCAAGUGCUAAUUAUAAUGGGAAAACAUAGGAAACACUGUAACUGCAUACCAGUUGAAGACUGGUUAAAUAAUAUUAUAAGAAUGGGAUACUAUUCACUCAUAAAAAGGAAUUAAGCAGGCCUUUAUAAAUGACACACUACGGAAAAGAAAGCAAGAGGCAGAAUAAUGUGUAUAAUCUCAUUUAUAUUUUAAAAAUGUAUUCAUAUAUACUUGUGAAUGCACCUAAAAUUUCUGGAAGGAAAUACAAGAAAACUGUUAUCAAUGGUUCUGUCUAGGGAGCAGUACUGGACAGCUGGACAUUUAAAGAGGAGAGAGACUUAUUACUGUACCAUUUGACUUUUCUACCAUAUACACAUAGGACUUAUCCUGAUGGCCGUGAAACCAUGCUGAUGGACUCUCCCGCUGGGAUGGAGCAUAACUGAUGAAUGACCCCAGCUGCCAGCCCUCUGGAUGCACCAUCCAGGUGGAUGCCACACUUUCCACAGACUGUCCCCAGCCAGUGACUGAGUGAAACGCAGGCUUCCUCUAACAGGCAACUUUGCCUUGAAGACUCCUGAUCAGCCUGGCCGAAACUUCCGUGGGACUGCAGUCCAUGACCUCCUACCCAAACCUCCCUCUCAGGGGGUAGAUUCGGAUCACUGUCUGAAGGCUCUCCCUGACUUCUCCAGUUCCCCUCCCUUUUAUGCUUCACAGGCACUGCCUCAAAUUCAUUUCUUGCCUGUCUCACCUCAUCCUGGUGUCUGCUUCUUGGAAGAUCUGAACUAAUACAUUUAUUGAAUAAAAAACAAAAACAAAACAGCUGUUUUUAGAUAUUCCAGGAAUAAGGUGGUAGCAGCUGCCCAGUUCCAAAGCCCAAGCUCUUGUCCACAGACUGCCACCGAUCCCUGACUCCCAAGCUCAACCAGGAAAGCAAGGACCAUCUCAGGGGUCUCUUCAUGUGGGCAGUGACCAGGUAACUCCCCCUAAAUGUUAGGUCUGCCCGCUCUGUCCCUUGCAUUCUAACCUCCAGCCCCACCCAGCUGCUUUCACUCCCUUCCAAAGCUGGGUUUUCUUGUCUUGUUCACAUCCUGUUUUCUGUGAUCAGCAUGCUCUUCCUCCAGUUCUUCACCUAAUACUCAUUCAUCCUUAAGUCCCACUUAAAUGCCACUUCAUUCACUCAACAAAUAGUGAGUACUUCCUAUGUACCAGGCUCUCCUCUGGGCACUGGAGAUACACUAGUGAACAAGCAAAAAAAAAAAAAAAAAAAAAAAAAAAAAAAAUGUGCCUUUGUUGAACUUAGAUUCUAGCGGGAGAGGCAGGCUAUAAGUGAAAUAAACUGUGUAAUCUACCAGACAAAAGUGUUAUGAUGAGAAGUAAAGCAGGGAAGGGGCUUGGAAGUACCUGGGAAUUGGGGCUGCAAUUUUAAAUAGGAUGGUCAGAGAAGUCCUCACCUAAAUGACAUUUGAGCAAAACGAAGCAGAUGAGGGAACAAGCCACGUAGGUAUCUGGAGAAUAAGGGCAAAGCCACAGGCAGGAACACACCUGGCUUUUGCGAAGAACAGACAGGAGGCCAGUCUGGCUAGAGCCAAACGAGCCAGGUGGAGAAUAUUAGCAGAUGAAUUUAUAGAGGUACUAAGGGCCCCAUAGGUAUAGGGCUUUGAGGGCCAGUAAGAACUUUGACUGUUAUUGAGUGUGGUGGAGGCUAUCUGAGUGGAGUGAUGUGAUCUGAUUUAUAUUUUAAAGGAUCACCCGGCUGUCUCCCAAAUGGAUUGUAAGGGGAUAAGGACACAAGCAAAGAAAGAGACCAUUCAGAGGCUACAGAAGUAACCCAGGGAAGAGACGAUGGUGCUUGAAGCAGGAAGACUUCUUCAACUCCAGGCCAGGGCUGGGAAGCAGACUCAGAGAAGAAGAAGAAAUUGCCCAUGUUUACAUGAUGAAUCCAUGGUUGAGCUGAGAUUUGAACUUCUGUCUUUGACUUUUCUGCACUGGACACUCAGAAGUAACACACACUGAACAACCCUCCAAAAGAUCCAUUUGCUCAUGGGUAAAAUGGGGGGCAGGUGGUUCCCAUUGUCCAGAGGGUCCUUAGAAGGAUUCAGUAGAAUGGCAUGUGCAGAGUUCUGGUACAUUGGAUCAUGACACAUCUGUUAACUUGUGAUGACCACCCCACUCGAGAGCAGAAAGAUCACCAGAGGGAGGGCAGCUUGCUCUGCAUUUUGGUUUGGAGGACUGCAAACAUCCUGCCCUCCAAGCUUCAUCCAGUCUCCGGAGAAAGAAAUCUGGGCAUUGGGUAUGUGCUAAAGGCGGCCAGAAAUGCCUGAGCUGUCACUGUUCUCAGAGCAUGUGAUUCUGAGCUCAGACAAUCUCCUAGAACCAGUUUUAGUAUUGAUUGUAAGCCAUAAGCCAUCGAGGCUACCAAAUGGACUUAGAAACCAACCUGAUGAUAGUACAAUUUCAGCUGCAACAAAGCUAAUAAUUGCAAUUGAUUGAAAUGCAUCAAACACGUUCCAAUAAGUUCAUAUGACAUUCAGCCAACACACUAACUGAUCGUCUUCUGAGGAUGGCAUAGAAACAAAUUAUAUUCUUGGAAACUAUGUAAAUAAAAGAAAAGAGUCAAGUAUUUGUCCCACCUUUCCAAUUUGGAACUGUACCACUGAGUGACCAAAUAAUAGAUUAAGAAAACCAUUUUCUUAUAAAACUACUACAAUUGAUGCAGGAAGGCAAAAUAAUACAAUGUUGCUAUUUUGCCAGCUGCCAUGAAUUAAAUGUAUGUAGCUGUUGUACCCAGUAGCCGGUAAUAUCAAAAAAGAGCAAAUUCCAGCCACGUAUGUGCUUCUUGAUAAAAGAAGGACUACCUAUAAUCACACCAGAGGGAUGGAAACUGGGUCUGACUCAGCUGCUAAUAUACAAGUAAUGCAGAGGUCAAAGGGCCAUGUUGAACUGUAUACUGUGAGGAUAUGAGAGACAAAAUCCAGACUUUGAGGAACUCUAUGGGUCAAGCAGCGUAACAGAUAAAUUUCAAGGAAAAGAAAGAGAUAUAAGGGGAAUCUAUGGCUUAAAACACAUGCUUAGUUUCUUCUAAUGGGCGAAACUGAACUACAGUAUCUUAGGGAUGCACACUCAAAUGAUUAAGCAAGGAAAUAAUUACUCUAAAAGUCAGGCUACUAAUUACUUUUGUGGGGGGAGGGCUAUGAUUGAGAUGGGGUACAUGGAGGGGCUCCUGGGGUCACUGGCAAAGUUUUAUUUCUUGACCUGGGUGUUGGUUAUGAGGGCGUUUGCCCCUGAAAUAAUCACUAAGCUACAAAUUUAAUUUGUAUGAUUUUCCGCAUCUGUGAUUUGUUUCAUAACAUAAAGUUUUUAAAAGAUGAAAACAGAA